GAUGAACGCUGGCGGCGUGCCUAAUACAUGCAAGUCGAGCGAACAGAUAAGGAGCUUGCUCCUUUGACGUUAGCGGCGGACGGGUGAGUAACACGUGGGUAACCUACCUAUAAGACUGGGAUAACUUCGGGAAACCGGAGCUAAUACCGGAUAACAUUUGGAACCGCAUGGUUCUAAAGUGAAAGAUGGUUUUGCUAUCACUUAUAGAUGGACCGGCGCCGUAUUAGCUAGUUGGUAAGGUAACGGCUUACCAAGGCAACGAUACGUAGCCGACCUGAGAGGGUGAUCGGCCACACUGGAACUGAGACACGGUCCAGACUCCUACGGGAGGCAGCAGUAGGGAAUCUUCCGCAAUGGGCGAAAGCCUGACGGAGCAACGCCGCGUGAGUGAUGAAGGGUUUCGGCUCGUAAAACUCUGUUAUUAGGGAAGAACAAAUGUGUAAGUAACUGUGCACGUCUUGACGGUACCUAAUCAGAAAGCCACGGCUAACUACGUG
rnacentral:rRNA from 1 species